AGCAGCCGCGGUAAUUCCAGCUCCAAUAGCGUAUAUUAAAGUUGUUGCAGUUAAAAAGCUCGUAGUUGAAUUUCGAGACCGGUUUAUUGGUCGUGCUUUUGUACGUACUGGUAUUAUUGGUUUCUCCUUUCUGACGAAUCUUAAUGCCAUUAAUUUGGUGUUUUGGGGAAUCAGGACUGUUACUUUGAAAAAAUUAGAGUGUUUAAAGCAGGCUCACGCUUGAAUACAUUAGCAUGGAAUAACGGAAUAGGACGUUUGAUUCUAUUUUGUUGGUUUCUAGGAUCGACGUAAUGAUUAAUAGGGAUAGUUGGGGGCAUUAGUAUUCAAUUGUCAGAGGUGAAAUUCUUGGAUUUAUUGAAGACUAACUACUGCGAAAGCAUUUGCCAAGGAUGUUUUCAUUAAUCAAGAACGAAAGUUAGGGGAUCGAAGACGAUCAGAUACCGUCGUAGUCUUAACCAUAAACUAUGCCGACUAGGGAUCGGGAUGAUGUUAAUUUUUUAAUGACUCAUUCGGCGCCUUA
rnacentral:rRNA from 1 species